GACGACCGGCGCACGGGUGCGUAACGCGUAUAGAACCUACCUUUUACUGGAGAAUAGCCUUUAGAAAUGAAGAUUAAUGCUCCAUGGUAUUAAGUUUUGGCAUCAGAACUUAAUUAAAGAUUUAUUGGUAAAAGAUGGCUAUGCGUCCUAUUAGUUAGAUGGUAAGGUAACGGCUUACCAUGACUUUGAUAGGUAGGGGUCCUGAGAGGGAGAUCCCCCACACUGGUACUGAGACACGGACCAGACUCCUACGGGAGGCAGCAGUGAGGAAUAUUGGGCAAUGGAGGCAACUCUGACCCAGCCAUGCCGCGUGAAGGAUGACUGCCCUAUGGGUUGUAAACUUCUUUUAUACAGGAAGAAACACUGGUAUGUAUACCAGCUUGACGGUACUGUAAGAAUAAGGACCGGCUAACUCCGUGCCAGCAGCCGCGGUAAUACGGAGGGUCCGAGCGUUAUCCGGAAUCAUUGGGUUUAAAGGGUCCGCAGGCGGUCAAUUAAGUCAGAGGUGAAAUCCCAUAGCUCAACUAUGGAACUGCCUUUGAUACUGGUUGACUUGAGUCAUAUGGAAGUAGAUAGAAUGUGUAGUGUAGCGGUGAAAUGCAUAGAUAUUACACAGAAUACCGAUUGCGAAGGCAGUCUACUACGUAUGUACUGACGCUGAGGGACGAAAGCGUGGGGAGCGAACAGGAUUAGAUACCCUGGUAGUCCACGCCGUAAACGAUGGAUACUAGUUGUUGGGCAUUAGCUCAGUGACUAAGCGAAAGUGAUAAGUAUCCCACCUGGGGAGUACGGUCGCAAGACUGAAACUCAAAGGAAUUGACGGGGGCCCGCACAAGCGGUGGAGCAUGUGGUUUAAUUCGAUGAUACGCGAGGAACCUUACCAGGGCUUAAAUGUAGUCUGACAGCUUUAGAGAUAGAGUUUUCUUCGGACAGAUUACAAGGUGCU
rnacentral:rRNA from 1 species